rnacentral:rRNA from 1 species
AAUGGGCGCAAGCCUGACGGAGCAACGCCGCGUGUGGGAUGAAGGCCUGUGGGUUGUAAACCACUUUUCUCAGGGACGAAGUUCUGACGGUACCUGAGGAAUCAGCCUCGGCUAACUCUGUGCCAGCAGCCGCGGUAAGACAGAGGAGGCAAGCGUUAUCCGGAAUUAUUGGGCGUAAAGCGUCCGUAGGUGGUUUGACAAGUCUGGGGUCAAAGCCCGGAGCCCAACUCCGGAUCGGCCUUGGAAACUGUCAGACUGGAGUAAGGUAGGGGUUGCGGGAAUUCCCGGUGUAGCGGUGAAAUGCGUAGAUAUCGGGAAGAACACCAGCGGCGAAAGCGCGCAACUGGGCCAUUACUGACACUGAGGGACGAAAGCUAGGGGAGCG